rnacentral:snoRNA from 1 species
ACAAAACAUAUUUAUGCAUUCUAUUCACUGUGCCGUCUUUAAAUUUGUUAGAUGAACAGAGGGGAAAAGAAGAGCUAGAAGAAUCUUAAUGAGCGUCCUCAUACUGUCUAUGGCAAAUCAUCGGUCUUUUUAUUUCUUUAAAUAAGGAGAAUCUUUAUGGCUUUAGUCGGUAGCUGCGCAAGUUAUACAUCU